CUGAGGGCAGAGCUGUUUGCCUGGCAGAGGAGGAGGAAACAGCCAUGUUGUAAAUGGCCUCUGAGGAGGACUGGCCUCUAGGAAUUGAGGACAUCAAGCCUACAUCUGCAAGGAAUUGAACCGUGCCAAGAACCCGAAUAAACUCUGAAGAUGAGAACCAAGGUAUCCUGUGCCAAACUGGCUGCCUUCCCCUGUUUCUGUACCACACUGGUUCCUGAAGCUAUUUGAAUUUGAGACUGCUGGGGUAACCUGACCCACUACAAGGAUCUGAAAGUAUUUUACAGUUGGUUGAAUCCAUGGAUGUGGAACACAUGGAUGUGAAGGACCAACUGUACUUUGUACGAGUGGUCCUCAAAGUGUGGGUCCUGGACCAGUGGCAGCAGCAUCACCUGGGAACUUGUGAGAAAUGCACAUUUCAGCCCCUGUUUCAGAUGGACCUAUCAGAAUCUCUGCAGGAACAUUUUGGAGUCACCUCAUAUACAAUGAAAUGAUAGAUUUAUCAACAUAGAUAAAUCUCAAAAACACAAUAAGUGAAUAAAGCAAGUUGCAGAUGGAAAUAGUAUGUGAUGGUCAAACAAUCUAGCUGUUUCUGUGAAGGUGUUUUUGGAUGAGACUAACAUUGACAUUGGUGGACUUUGAGUAAAGCAGGUUUCCUGCGCUCCAUAAUGUGGGUAUUCUCAUCAAAUCAGUUGCAGGAUUUAACAGCAAAGACUGAGGUCCCCUGAGAAAAUAGGAUUCCACCAGCAGACAGCCUUCAGCCUUGAACUGCAGCGUCAUCUCUUCCCUGGGCCUCCCAACCUGCUGACUCUUUGAUCUUGGACUUCUAGCCUCCGUAACUGUGAGCCAAUUCCCUAAAAUAAAUCUCUCUCUGUACACAUUCUAUGGUUAUGUU
rnacentral:antisense_RNA from 1 species